GAUGAACGCUGGCGGCGUGCCUAAUACAUGCAAGUCUAACGAGUUCUCGCUGAUGAUCGGUGCUUGCACCGAGAUUCAACAUGGAACGAGUGGCGGACGGGUGAGUAACACGUGGGUAACCUGCCCUUAAGUGGGGGAUAACAUUUGGAAACAGAUGCUAAUACCGCAUAGAUCCAAGAACCGCAUGGUUCUUGGCUGAAAGAUGGCGUAAGCUAUCGCUUUUGGAUGGACCCGCGGCGUAUUAGCUAGUUGGUGAGGUAAUGGCUCACCAAGGCGAUGAUACGUAGCCGAACUGAGAGGUUGAUCGGCCACAUUGGGACUGAGACACGGCCCAAACUCCUACGGGAGGCAGCAGUAGGGAAUCUUCCACAAUGGACGCAAGUCUGAUGGAGCAACGCCGCGUGAGUGAAGAAGGCUUUCGGGUCGUAAAACUCUGUUGUUGGAGAAGAAUGGUCGGCAGAGUAACUGUUGUCGGCGUGACGGUAUUCAACCAGAAAGCCACGGCUAACUACGUGCCAGCAGCCGCGGUAAUACGUAGGUGGCAAGCGUUAUCCGGAUUUAUUGGGCGUAAAGCGAGCGCAGGCGGUUUUUUAAGUCUGAUGUGAAAGCCCUCGGCUUAACCGAGGAAGCGCAUCGGAAACUGGGAAACUUGAGUGCAGAAGAGGACAGUGGAACUCCAUGUGUAGCGGUGAAAUGCGUAGAUAUAUGGAAGAACACCAGUGGCGAAGGCGGCUGUCUGGUCUGUAACUGACGCUGAGGCUCGAAAGCAUGGGUAGCGAACAGGAUUAGAUACCCUGGUAGUCCAUGCCGUAAACGAUGAAUGCUAGGUGUUGGAGGGUUUCCGCCCUUCAGUGCCGCAGCUAACGCAUUAAGCAUUCCGCCUGGGGAGUACGACCGCAAGGUUGAAACUCAAAGGAAUUGACGGGGGCCCGCACAAGCGGUGGAGCAUGUGGUUUAAUUCGAAGCAACGCGAAGAACCUUACCAGGUCUUGACAUCUUUUGAUCACCUGAGAGAUCAGGUUUCCCCUUCGGGGGCAAAAUGACAGGUGGUGCAUGGUUGUCGUCAGCUCGUGUCGUGAGAUGUUGGGUUAAGUCCCGCAACGAGCGCAACCCUUAUGACUAGUUGCCAGCAUUUAGUUGGGCACUCUAGUAAGACUGCCGGUGACAAACCGGAGGAAGGUGGGGAUGACGUCAAAUCAUCAUGCCCCUUAUGACCUGGGCUACACACGUGCUACAAUGGAUGGUACAACGAGUUGCGAGACCGCGAGGUCAAGCUAAUCUCUUAAAGCCAUUCUCAGUUCGGACUGUAGGCUGCAACUCGCCUACACGAAGUCGGAAUCGCUAGUAAUCGCGGAUCAGCACGCCGCGGUGAAUACGUUCCCGGGCCUUGUACACACCGCCCGUCACACCAUGAGAGUUUGUAACACCCGAAGCCGGUGGCGUAACCCUUUUAGGGAGCGAGCCGUCUAAGGUGGGACAAAUGAUUAGGGUG
rnacentral:rRNA from 2 species